rnacentral:rRNA from 1 species
UGACGCUGGCGGCAUGCCCUACACAUUCAAGUCGAACGGUAACAGGUCUUCGGAUGCUGACGAGUGGCGAACGGGUGAGUAAUACUCGGAACGUGCCCGAGAGUGGGGGAUAACGAAGCGAAAGCUUUGCUAAUACCGCAUACGAUCUCAGGAUGAAAGCAGGUGACCGCAAGGCCUUGCGCUCACGGAGCGGCCGAUGGCAGAUUAGGUAGUUGGUGGGAUAAAAGCUUACCAAGCCGACGAUCUGUAGCUGGUCUGAGAGGACGACCAGCCACACUGGGACUGAGACACGGCCCAGACUCCUACGGGAGGCAGCAGUGGGGAAUUUUGGACAAUGGGCGCAAGCCUGAUCCAGCCAUGCCGCGUGCAGGAUGAAGGCCUUCGGGUUGUAAACUGCUUUUGUACGGAACGAAAAGACUCUGGUUAAUACCUGGGGUCCAUGACGGUACCGUAAGAAUAAGCACCGGCUAACUACGUGCCAGCAGCCGCGGUAAUACGUAGGGUGCGAGCGUUAUCGGAAUUACUGGGCGUAAGCGUGCGCACGGCGGUUAUGUAAGGACAGAUGUGAAAUCCCCGGGCUCAACCUUGGGAAACUGC